UACGUAGGCAGCGAGCGUUGUUCGGAAUUACUGGGCGUAAAGAGUGUGUAGGCGGUGCUCCCAGUCUGUUGUGAAAUCUCCCGGCUUAACUGGGAGGGUGCAGCGGAAACUAGAGUGCUAGAGGGUGGGAGAGGUAAGCGGAAUUCCUGGUGUAGCGGUGAAAUGCGUAGAUAUCAGGAGGAACACCUGUGGUGUAGACAGCUUACUGGACCGCUUCUGACGCUGAGGCACGAAAGCGUGGGUAGCAAACAGG
rnacentral:rRNA from 1 species